rnacentral:rRNA from 1 species
GACGAACCGUGCGAACGUUGUUCGGAAUCACUGGGCUUAAAGGGCGCGUAGGCGGGCCGGACGGUCCGGGGUGAAAUCCCCCCGCUCAACGGGGGAACGGCCCCGGACACCGCCGGCCUCGAGGGGGGUAGGGGCGAGCGGAACGCUGGGUGGAGCGGUGAAAUGCGUUGAUAUCCAGCGGAACUCCGGUGGCGAAGGCAGCCCCCUGGGUCAAGAUUGACGCUCAUGCACGAAAGCGUGGGGAGCAAACAGG